UACAGAGGGUGCAAGCGUUGCUCGGAUUUACUGGGCGUAAAGCGUACGCAGACGGAUCGUCAAGUCAGGAGUGAAAGCCCUGGGCUCAACCCAGGAACGGCUUUGAUACUAGCGGUCUUGAGUUUGGGAGAGGGAAGCGGAAUUCCUGGUGUAGCGGUGAAAUGCGCAGAUAUACAGGAGGAACACCGAUGGCGAAGGCAGGUCUCUGGGCAACUACUGACGCUGAGGAGCGAAAGCGUGGGAGCGAACAGG
rnacentral:rRNA from 1 species